AUGAAAGAGUAUGCAGAUGCUGCUAAAUUUCGUGGUCAGAAUGGAUGGACCAAAGAAGGAUGGAAAAGCAUGGCUACACGCUUGAACAAUCAGUUUCCGAUAGCUAAUUUUGUUGUUGAUCAACUAAAAUUUAGGGAGCAGCGGUUGAAGAAAGAAUAUUUUAUUGUCAAAUCUACUGUAGAGAAGAGUGGCUUCGGUUUUGAUCCUAUUAACAAAAUGCUAACAACCAUUCCAGAAAAAUGGGAUGAAUUGAGCAAAGAACAACAGAAGUGGAGAUACAAAGCUUUCCCUUACUAUGAUGAUUUGCAUGCAAUUUAUGAUGGUACGUUGGUUUCACAUGUAAUCAAUUUAGCAUAUUUCUUGCUUGCUUGUAGUUUACAAUCUAUUCCUCUGUACCCAUGUAAAUUAGCGGAGGGCAAGGGUUGUAAGAGGACAAUAGAUCAGGUUGAAGAGAGGUUCAGUUCGGCUACAGAUAUGCCACAAGGGGAAACCUUCACACAACAAGUUCUAAAUGCCGCGCUUAAUUCGCCUAGUCCAACAUUACCGGCUCCAGACUUUGAAGAUCAACAUUAUGAGUGGAGUAAAGGCAUAUAUGGUGACGAUGUCGAAGUAUUUCCUGUUGAAAACACAGAAUGUCUGGAGAAUAAUAGUAACCAAUUUCCCACAGAAGACGUGAACACACUUCCUGACCCACCACCUAUGAAAAAGGCUAGGGCUUCUAAAGGCAAUGAUGAAGGUAAGGCUAAGAGAGGCAAAGACACAACAAUUGAAGAUCUGGUUGCAGUUAGAAAAGAAGAACUUAAAACUUAUGUGGAUGUAAAGACGAAGCAAAUUGAGAGCUACAGAGACGUGAAAAUGGCGCUGAUGGAAAAAAAGAAUCCUGACAAAGGUCCUUAUUGCAUUGCCAAUUGCAUUGUCAAACUUAAGACCAUGCCAGAUCUCUCAGCAAGUGAACAUCUGAAGACGAUCGAGUAUCUGAAAGGACAAAGAGCUGACCGUGAAAUCUUCAUGACAGUGGAGCAUGAUGUGGUUCUGGAGAUCCUCAAGAAAGUGCUUGGCCGUCAAAUUUAA
rnacentral:rRNA from 1 species